rnacentral:rRNA from 1 species
CAGGACGAACGCUGGCGGCGUGCCUAAUACAUGCAAGUCGAACGAACUGUGGAAAGCUUGCUUUUCAGAGUUAGUGGCGAACGGGUGAGUAACACGUAAGUAACCUAGCUAUUAGACGAGGAUAACUACUGGAAACGGUAGCUAAGACUGGAUAUGAUAGAAAUAUUUAAAGGAUGCUAAGGCAUCGCUAAUAGAGGGGCUUGCGGCGCAUUAGCUAGUUGGUAGGGUAAAAGCCAACCAAGGCGAUGAUGCGUAGCCGACCUGAGAGGGUGACCGGCCACACUGGGACUGAGACACGGCCCAGACUCCUACGGGAGGCAGCAGUAGGGAAUCUUCGGCAAUGGACGAAAGUCUGACCGAGCAACGCCGCGUGAGUGAAGAAAGUUUUCGGAUUGUAAAGCUCUGUUAUUAGGGAAGAAAGGCUCUAGGAGGAAAUGCUUAGGGAUUGACGGUACCUAAUGAGGAAGCCACGGCUAACUACGUGCCAGCAGCCGC